rnacentral:rRNA from 1 species
UACGUAGGGACCAAGCGUUGUUCGGAUUUACUGGGCGUAAAGAGCUCGUAGGCGGUCUGUUGCGUCUGCUGUGAAAACCCGGGGCUUAACCCCUGGCUUGCAGUGGAUACGGACAGACUAGAGGUAGGUAGGGGAGAAUGGAAUUCCCGGUGUAGCGGUGAAAUGCGCAGAUAUCAGGAGGAACACCGGUGGCGAAGGCGGGUCUCUGGGCCGAUACUGACGCUGAGGAGCGAAAGCGUGGGGAGCAAACAGG